CAAUAGCGUAUAUUUAAGUUGCUGCAGUUAAAAAGCUCGUAGUUGGAUUUCGGGUGGGAAUGGCCGGUCCGCCGUUUCGGUGUGCACUUGCUACGCCCACCUUGCUGCCGGGGACGUGCUCUUGAGUUCACGCUCGGGACACGGAGUCGGCGAGGUUACUUUGAGUAAAUUAGAGUGUUCAAAGCAGGCCUACGCUCUGAAUACAUUAGCAUGGAAUAACACGAUAGGACUCUGGCCUAUCUUGUUGGUCUGUAGGACCGGAGUAAUGAUUAAGAGGGACAGUCGGGGGCAUUCGUAUUUCAUUGUCAGAGGUGAAAUUCUUGGAUUUAUGAAAGACGAACUACUGCGAAAGCAUUUGCCAGGAUGUUUUCAUUAA
rnacentral:rRNA from 1 species